rfam:Brassica napus, WGS project CCCW01000000 data, contig: 3973
AGAGUAUAAUGCAGCCAAGGAUGACUUGCCGGAGUGUUGUUCAUCAUGCAUAAAAAAUAUUGAUGAUGAUGAUGGUGAUGAACAUAAUUCUGGCAAGUUGUCCUUCGGCUACAUUUUGCUCUCU